UAUAAAUUUUUAGUUGUGUUCACUUUGAUAGCAUAACCCUAACGGCGCAUUCCCAAAACUUCUUGGGUCUAUAUAUUUCUCAACCCUUGUUAUCUUGCAUUUGCAUAGGCUUUCAAAAGUAACCAUUCACUACCUCUAUCACUUGCAAGAUAUAUUCCCACAUAUAUACUUGUAUGACUAAAUUGAAUAUUAGUCGUGAUUGAUUAUGGAUUGAUACAUAUUCAAUCGUGGCUUCAUUCUACUCAAAUUGGUACUAUAUAUAUGGAAAAUUUUAGAUUAUUUCUCAUGUCAUGUCAUUGAUUGCACAUAAACUUUUGUAUCUUCUUUUAUUGUAUUAAACUUUGUGUUGUUUUUCUCAGUUAGAUCUAUAAGCGAGACAACAAAAUCUGGUCUUUUCCGAAACCGACACAGGUGGGUAGGUAGAGAAUACCUAGGGGCGCGAGACAACUUUCCCUAAGGAACUCGACAACAUAGCCCCAUAACUUCGGGAGAAGGGGUGCCUCCUCACAAAGGAGGUCGCAGUGACCAGGCCAGGGCGACUGUUUACCAUGUAUUUUUCAUACUUUGUUAUAUUGUUCGUUCUGGUAUUGUCUGACGUAAAUUUCUUCGACUGUGAUUUCUUUGAUUAAUAUGGAUAAAAUCGUGUGCCUAAAAGAAGAGGUGGUGUUGCCUUAUUUUUAAAGGAUAUGGCAACCAGAAAACACCAUUUUUAUAGGGAGAUAGAGCAUUUUGAUUAAUAAGUUUGUAAACAUUUUGGGGUAUAUGGCAAAUAGAGGAGCUUACUAGAAGAGGAUAUCAUAAUAGUAUAUGGCAAAUAGAAGAGCUUAUUAAUAAAGUGUCUCUAAAUCAAGAAGAAGAAGAAAAGGAUAUGAAGAGCUAAAUCAGAAGUGGAGGACAUCAGAAGUAGAGGACAGUGAUAUCAUAAUGGUAUAUGGCAAAUAGAGGAGUUUACUAAUAAAGUGUCUCUAAAUCAAGAAGAUGAGGACGAGUAUAUGAGAAGCUAAAUCAGAAAUGGAGGACUAUAAUAUCAUAAUGAUAUAUGGAAAAUAGAGGAGCUUACUAAUAAAGUGUCUCUAAAUCAAGAAGACGGAGACGGGGAUAUAAGGAGCUAAAUCAGAAGUGCAGGACAUCAGAAGUAGAGGACAAUGGUAUAUGGCAAAUAGAGCAAAUAGAGGAGCUUACUAAUAAAGUGUCUCUAAAUCAAGAAGAUGGAAAAUAGAUGAUGAGACUCAUAUCAUCAUGAUUCUAUAGUGGUAUAUGGAAAAUAAAGGAGCUUACUAAUGUGAUUAAAAUAUUAAAAAUAAAGUAUCUCUAAAUCAGAAGAUGAGGAUAUCUCAUAACAACAUAACAAUCAAAAGAUGAGGACGAGGAUAUCUCAUAACAAUCACAAUCAGAAGAUGAGGACGAGAAUAUCUCAUACCAGUGUAAAUUAUAUGUUGAUAAUAUGAUUUUGUAGUAGUA